UACAGAGGGUGCGAGCGUUAAUCGGAAUUACUGGGCGUAAAGCGCACGUAGUCGGCUUUGCAAGUCGGUUGUGAAAUCCCCGGGCUCAACCUGGGAACUGCAUCCGAGACUGCAUUGCUAGGGUAUGGGAGAGGGAAGCGGAAUUUCUGGUGUAGCAGUGAAAUGCGUAGAUAUCAGAAGGAACAUCAGUGGCGAAGGCGGCUUCCUGGACCAAUACUGACGAUCAGGUGCGAAAGCGUGGGGAGCAAACAGG
rnacentral:rRNA from 1 species